UACAGAGGUCUCAAGCGUUGUUCGGAUUCAUUGGGCGUAAAGGGUGCGUAGGUGGCGCGCUAAGUCAGGUGUGAAAUUUCGGAGCUUAACUCCGAAACUGCAUUUGAUACUGCCGUGCUCGAGGACUGGAGAGGAGACUGGAAUUUACGGUGUAGCGGUGAAAUGCGUAGAUAUCGUAAGGAAGACCAGUGGCGAAGGCGGGUCUCUGGACAGUUCCUGACGCUGAGGCACGAAGGCCAGGGGAGCAAACGGG
rnacentral:rRNA from 1 species